UACGUAGGUGGCAAGCGUUGUCCGGAUUUAUUGGGUUUAAAGGGUGCGUAGGCGGUCUAUUAAGUCAGUGCUGAAAUAUCCCGGCUUAACCGGGAGGGUGGCAUUGAUACUGAUGGACUUGAGUGCAGUCGAAGUAGGCGGAAUUGACGGUGUAGCGGUGAAAUGCUUAGAUAUCGUCAAGAACACCGAUAGUGUAGACAGCUUACUAGGCUGUAACUGACGCUGAGGCACGAAAGUGUGGGGAUCAAACAGG
rnacentral:misc_RNA from 1 species